GACGAACGCUGGCGGCGUGCCUAAUACAUGCAAGUCGAACGAAGCUGUUUUAACUGGUGCUUGCACCGACUUAAACAACUGAGUGGCGAACGGGUGAGUAACACGUGGGUAACCUGCCCCAAAGCGGGGGAUAACAUUUGGAAACAGAUGCUAAUACCGCAUAACCACAGAAACCACAUGGUUUCUGUGUCAAAGAUGGUUUCGGCUAUCACUUUGGGAUGGACCUGCGGCGUAUUAGCUAGUUGGUAAGGUAAUGGCUUACCAAGGCAAUGGUACGUAGCCGAACUGAGAGGUUGAUCGGCCACAUUGGGACUGAGACACGGCCCAAACUCCUACGGGAGGCAGCAGUAGGGAAUCUUCCACAAUGGACGAAAGUCUGAUGGAGCAACGCCGCGUGAGUGAAGAAGGUUUUCGGAUCGUAAAACUCUGUUGUCAGAGAAGAACGUGUGCGAGAGUAACUGCUCGUGCAGUGACGGUAUCUGGCCAGAAAGCCACGGCUAACUACGUGCCAGCCGCCGCGGUAA
rnacentral:rRNA from 1 species